ACAAGUAAAUGAUCACAUAUACAUAGGCAAGAUAUUAACUUGGUAAAAUAGAGCCACUCAGCUGUUUGAGUAGCCUCAUUGAAGUUUUUAAUGAAGUUCUCUUUCUGUUAUUUUAGAACAUCCCUCAUGUUUGCGGGACGGUAUAGUACGGAAAACAUAGUACACAUGCUUCUUGAACUAGGGGUUGAUGUGCUUUCUGAAGACAUUGCUGGACAUUCUGCUAGGGAUUAUGCUCUUCAAAAACGUAAUAUGCAAAAUUACCAACUCAUUUCGUUGUUUCGAGAAAAUGCUGCACUUGAGAAGAUUGUAAAUAGAAAUCCAGAUGAUGAGCAUUCUAAAGAAUAUAGAAAAAGGCUUUUGGAAAUACCUGAUGUUAAUCAUGAACUGCUUAUAUCAUAUGAGGAAGGCCUCAAUUCAUUUGCCAAGAAAGACUUAAUUCCAGGACAUACAACUGCCAUCAUUCACAGUGCACCAGAAGAGCAACCCAAUAACGACAGAAUAACUCGUGUUCAUGGAGUCCAUGAAGAUAACAAAUGUGGAGCAGAAGAUGAAGCUAAAGAAUCAACUUCAGACCCUGAGGAAGGAACGUCAACUAUAGCGGGUAAGAAGAGUAAAAAAUGUUUUUUCAUCACUCAAGUUGCUCCACAACAGCCAAUUAAUAAACAUGGGCUGGACUCUGAUCACGCAUUGGACAAAGAUAACAAACGUAGUAAGGAGUCUACCUCCCAAAGAGAUCCUGAAGACAACAACUCACCAAGGAAUUCGAAGGAAGGAAUGUCAACCUUAGCGAGUAAGAAGGGCUUAAAAGAUAUCGCCAUCACUCAAGUUGCUCCACAACAGCCAAUUAAUGAAUAUGCGUUCAACUAUGAUCGUGGAUUGGACAAUGGUAAGGAGUCUACCUCCCAAAGAGAUCCUGAAGACAACAACUCACCAAGGAAUUCGAAGGUAGUGUGUCUUCUUGUGAGUUGGAAAUACCUGAUUUCAGUCUUGUUAAAACAAAAUUGGUGUUUGCUUGAAGCCAGGGCAGCUAGUUUCAAAAUCAUUUAA
ensembl:lncRNA